AGAGUUUGAUCCUGGCUCAGGACGAACGCUGGCGGCGUGCCUAAUACAUGCAAGUAGAACGCUGAAGAGAGGAGCUUGCUCUUCUUGGAUGAGUUGCGAACGGGUGAGUAACGCGUAGGUAACCUGCCUUGUAGCGGGGGAUAACUAUUGGAAACGAUAGCUAAUACCGCAUAACAAUGGAUGACACAUGUCAUUUAUUUGAAAGGGGCAAUUGUUCCACUACAAGAUGGACCUGCGUUGUAUUAGCUAGUAGGUGAGGUAAUGGCUCACCUAGGCGACGAUACAUAGCCGACCUGAGAGGGUGAUCGGCCACACUGGGACUGAGACACGGCCCAGACUCCUACGGGAGGCAGCAGUAGGGAAUCUUCGGCAAUGGGGGCAACCCUGACCGAGCAACGCCGCGUGAGUGAAGAAGGUUUUCGGAUCGUAAAGCUCUGUUGUAAGUCAAGAACGGGUGUGAGAGUGGAAAGUUCACACUGUGACGGUAGCUUACCAGAAAGGGACGGCUAACUACGUGCCAGCAGCCGCGGUAAUACGUAGGUCCCGAGCGUUGUCCGGAUUUAUUGGGCGUAAAGCGAGCGCAGGCGGUUUGAUAAGUCUGAAGUUAAAGGCUGUGGCUCAACCAUAGUUCGCUUUGGAAACUGUCAAACUUGAGUGCAGAAGGGGAGAGUGGAAUUCCAUGUGUAGCGGUGAAAUGCGUAGAUAUAUGGAGGAACACCGGUGGCGAAAGCGGCUCUCUGGUCUGUAACUGACGCUGAGGCUCGAAAGCGUGGGGAGCGAACAGGAUUAGAUACCCUGGUAGUCCACGCCGUAAACGAUGAGUGCUAGGUGUUGGAUCCUUUCCGGGAUUCAGUGCCGCAGCUAACGCAUUAAGCACUCCGCCUGGGGAGUACGACCGCAAGGUUGAAACUCAAAGGAAUUGACGGGGGCCCGCACAAGCGGUGGAGCAUGUGGUUUAAUUCGAAGCAACGCGAAGAACCUUACCAGGUCUUGACAUCCCGAUGCUAUUUCUAGAGAUAGAAAGUUACUUCGGUACAUCGGUGACAGGUGGUGCAUGGUUGUCGUCAGCUCGUGUCGUGAGAUGUUGGGUUAAGUCCCGCAACGAGCGCAACCCCUAUUGUUAGUUGCCAUCAUUCAGUUGGGCACUCUAGCGAGACUGCCGGUAAUAAACCGGAGGAAGGUGGGGAUGACGUCAAAUCAUCAUGCCCCUUAUGACCUGGGCUACACACGUGCUACAAUGGUUGGUACAACGAGUUGCGAGUCGGUGACGGCGAGCUAAUCUCUUAAAGCCAAUCUCAGUUCGGAUUGUAGGCUGCAACUCGCCUACAUGAAGUCGGAAUCGCUAGUAAUCGCGGAUCAGCACGCCGCGGUGAAUACGUUCCCGGGCCUUGUACACACCGCCCGUCACACCACGAGAGUUUGUAACACCCGAAGUCGGUGAGGUAACCUUUUGGAGCCAGCCGCCUAAGGUGGGACAGAUGAUUGGGGUGAAGUCGUAACAAGGUA
rnacentral:rRNA from 1 species